rnacentral:tRNA from 1 species
GGCGUGGUAGCCAAGCGGUUAGGCAGCGGUCUGCAAAAUCGCGUAGAUCGGUUCGACUCCGAUCCACGCCUCCA